GCCAGACUCCUACGGGAGGCAGCAGUGGGGGAUAUUGCACAAUGGGGGGAACCCUGAUGCAGCGACGCCGCGUGGGUGAAGGAGCGUUUCGGCGCGUAAAGCCCUCUCGGCAGGGAAGAAGGAGGACGGUACCUGACUAAGAAGCCCCGGCUAACUACGUGCCAGCAGCCGCGGUAAUACGUAGGGGGGAAGCGUUAUCCGGAUUUACUGGGUGUAAAGGGGGCGCAGACGGCAGCGCAAGCCAGGAGUGAAAGCCCGGGGCCCAACCCCGGGACUGCUCUUGGAACUGCGCGGCUGGAGUGCAGGAGGGGCAGGCGGAAUUCCUGGUGUAGCGGUGAAAUGCGUAGAUAUCAGGAGGAACACCGGUGGCGAAGGCGGCCUGCUGGACUGCGACUGACGUUGAGGCCCGAAAGCGUGGGGAGCAAACAGGAUUAGAUACCCCCGUAA
rnacentral:rRNA from 1 species